ACAGAGAGGACUCAGCUUGAGGAGGUCACUCGUUCACAGCCGCUCCUCCCAUUAUAUUUUUCCCCUUAUUGCAGAACUGCUGAACUUACCUCCAUCUGUCUUUUCAAGCAGAAGAAUAGUAAUCAAUCCAGACAGUUAUAUCUUCAGAUCCUCAGGUUUUAAUAAAGGGUAGAAAGGGUCCCUUUAACUCCUGGAGACAGUAAAUCACAGUUUGUGUGGUAGUUCUCUGAAGACACUUAAAGGACUGAAUUGGAUGCUCUACAUAGCACCCUUGCCAAAAGAGUUCAGAAAUGACUUCCAGCUUCCCACAGUCAUAAAAUGGCACUGUUUGGCAUCUUUAAGGUCACAGACCACUGACUCUAAACCUCACAACUAGUUCUGAAGAGUAUGGAGCCUACAUAGAUUCAUAAGGUGGAGGAAGUCCAACCCUGGAGUUAGUGAGGUGGAGAGAAGAGAAAGCAAGGAGGUAGAAGAAGAGACUGCUUCCCCUCACCCUACCUGAGUUUUCCUAAUGUGAGCAGGCCUGAGCCAGAGAAAAGAAAGGAAUUUUGAAUAGGAUGUGAAGUGAACAUUUUGCUUCCAAUGGACUUGUACUUUUUAAUAGCUGAAAGGGACACUUCUAAUACAUGAAAAAGCCCAGAAAAUCUAUGGAAUGUGUCUGAGUUCAGAGGCAGGAAAAGAGGUUACGUUUAUUACCUGUCCCUUGCAUUAGAAUUUAAGCUCCAGGAAGUCAGGGUUGUUUCCUCGGCUUGGUUUUCCUUCCUCAUGCAUAUACUCCAAUGGGCCUAAAAUAGUACUUGUCUCAUAGUAGAUAUGCAAUAAAUAUUGGUUGAAUGGAUGACUUCAACAUUGUAAGACUGAAAGCAGUAAUUGGACAGAAAGUACUUCCUUUUGAACCUAUGGAGUCUGGUAUAGUCAAUAAACUUGACACUUGCGUUAGGAAAAGCGAUGCCUAUGUCAUUUAACAAGCAUGAGGUGGCUGCUAGAUAAGGGGAAGGAUUGCUGGUCAGUUCAGCAAAUGUUGUCCGUUUUAGAAAUUAUAGAGUGUAGUCGAAUUGCUGCAGGAUGCUAUACUAUCUAGAGCUUUUAAAUUUCCCUACCGGUAGCCUUGUAUUAAAGCUUGUGGUACUCAAAAUAUUUCCAGUGUUUUAGAGUUUAACUCUUUGAGUUAGUAAGAUCCUUAGUAAAAUGUCUUCCAUCAUUCAUGGCCAGUUACUUUUGUUUUUUAAAUUACUGGUUAUUUUGUUUGAGACUGAGUUUUGAGUAUGAUAAACACUUUUUAUUAUUCUAUGUGGAUUCAAGUAAAAGUGAGAAGAAUUGUUAACUUCGACAGAGAUAUAUGUUGCCACCUGUUGGAUUCUAAUCUUCUCUAGCAAAACACCUUGUUAGGAGGUUUGUGGUCCCUACCCUGAGGACCCAGGGCCUGAAAGAGUCAGCAUGAUUAAUUCUUUAGUUUGCUAAGGCUUUAGUGUUAUAUUUCUUUAGUUUUCUGGAACUCACUGACAUCAGUUUUUGUACUCCAAAGUUAGUAAGGAUAUAAUGAAAUGUUAAACUUCUAGCUAAAAAUUUUGCGCCAGAACAUUUUUGAAAAAUAUACUCCUGGGCAUAAAAAUAUCCCCAUGACAUAUUCAUGAUUACUAUAUUUCAAAGUAUAAGAUGGUGAUGAUGGUUCUUUUAUCUGGCAUGCGAACCUCGCUGAAAAGGUGUGUGGAUAAUCAGCUCCUCCCUUAAGUGCAGGAUGACCAUCACAGGUUCCAUUACUUUGGUCCAUGUCCCAGCAGCUCUUUCUCUUCCUUUGCUGCCUGAUAGCUUUGUUCAAAGGUAUCCACUAGCCUUUAAGCUAUGUCACUGAGAUCUUUCUCAAAAGAUUUUUAUACAUGUAUGCAUAAUUUAUAAUAUUUUAUGAAAGGGAAUUAGGAAUCUGUAUUUCUCUUAUUUCUUCAAAUAAAAAUUUGGCUAUCUUUAAUCUAAUCCCCAUCAUGUUAUAGAUGGUGAAAAAAAGAAUGCUGCAGUCAUUAAUAAUUUUAUAAACAAAUUCAUCUUUCUUAAGCAGAAAAACAACAAUGAACCAUCACAUUAGGAAGGGUAAUAUAUGAGAAGAGAUGGGCAGAGACGUACAAAAGUACAUAAAGAAGAGAAGUACAUAAGGAAAGCAAUAGGGAUAAAGUUUGAGGCAAGGAGAUCAAAUAGAAAAGGAACAAAGUGGAGGGAUGUCAAUUCAAGCCUCACCUUGAGUUAGUGACUUUCUCAGAGUAGGUUAUUUAGAACAAAUUUAAGGCCAUUACAACAUUUGUGGGAAAGAAUGUUGUGAUUGUGGUGCAAGAAUGAGGAGAUAGAGUCACAAAAAACCAUGUAUUUCCAUUUCUAUUCUAGAAGGUGAAGUCCUCUGCCACAAGAAAACCAGUAAGUGUUCAGAGGUGCAAGAGUCACCAUCAGUGUCAGAGAAUCCUGGCUAUUGAGGAACUAGUUUUGAAUUUAUUUUUUCCACUGAAUUUUCCUCCCCACUAGACAUUUAAAUUUCAGAUGGUUCAGAAAGAGCAUAAACCCAAAAAAGAAAAGGAGGAGAGUAAGAUCAAUUUAACUAUUUCAGACUGAUUCACAUGUUUGAGAUCUUCAUUAUUAUUCCUUAAACUACUGAGAGAACUCAAUUAUAUGAUUGGUGGGAUAUUCUAAUUAAAAAAAAGAAUUAUGGAGAGUACCAAAAAUUCUAGAAAUCUAAGUAUGAGGCAGAUAUUCUUCCAUUGCUCAAAAAGAGGAGGAAAAAAAAUGGAUUGUAUUUACCAUGGAAACAAGAGCCUUCUUUCCAAAGUGAAAUCCUCCACCUACACUCCCUCUUCUCAUGCCAAAUCCUUCCUCCUUCUCUAGUAAGGCACAUUUAUUGAAAGAAUAGUCUACCCAGUUAGUUAGCUUCCAUUUUUCUUCUUCCAUUGAUCUCUCAACACCUUUCAUUGGAUUCCAUUCCAUUCCAUUGGACUCUCACUAAGUUCCUACUUCAAGAUUUGCUAAAUGUCUUUCAUUACAGCUUCUUUUAGGUAACAUUAUGUUAUUUUAACAUAUGAGACCCUGGGAGGUAGUCAUAUUUUUCUCAAGCCUCUCCUUUACCUCCUUCCCUACUCUGACAAAUCUUAGAUUCUGUCCUCAACUUUCUUAUUCGAAAUGUUUGACCUCAGAAAUGUCCAUGACAACUUAUGGAAGUUCCCAGGCUAGGGGUCCAAUCGGAGCUACAGCUGCCAGCCUACACCACAGCAACACAGGAUCCGAGCCAUGUCUGCAACCUACACCACAGCUCACAGCAAUGCCAGAUCCCAGACCCACUGAGUGAAGCCAGGGAUCACACUCACAUCGUCAUGAAUACUAGUUGGAUUUGUUUUCACUGAGCCAUGAGAGGAACUCCUUAUAUUUUUAUAUGAUUGAUACCCAAAUCUACCUGCCUAGUCUAGACCACCUAAAUGUCAGUCUUAAGUUCCAGUUUCCCCUAGAAAUACUCGUGAUUGUCCCACACAUUCCUUAGUUCAGACUGUCUAAAAUAAAAUUUAUUUUUCUGUUCUCCAGAUCAGUUGACAGUUCCUGGCAACCUCACUACUCUACACCCACCAUGCACUUUGCUAUAGUUUACAUGUACCAUAUCAUAUCAUGGGCAUGACAACCCUUCAAGUUGAGAUUUUACAGAUGAGGAAAUGAAGGCACUAGGAGGUUAAGUAACUUGCCCACAAAGGACACUAGGCUAAUAAGUCAUGGAGCCAGGGUUACUAAUGGCAUUUGACUAUUUUGAGAGAAAAUAGCAUUUUCCUGUCACCCUGAAGGAAACAUGUAUAGAGGUGGGUGUACUCUGUUUCUGCAGAGGGCAGAACUGGGACAACUCAUUGAGAUUACGUGAAUGUAGAUUUCAGUUUAUUAAAGAGCUUCUUUAAAAGUGGCUUUCUAUAGCGAAGAAACAAGUUGCCUAGCAUAGGAAUAACAUCAGACUCAGGACUGUUGUAGAAAAGUCUUGGGGUGGAGAAAAAUUUCUACUACACGAAUUCCUAAAUGAUAAUAUUCCCCAGAACUGUCUUAUUUGAAUAAAAGAUUCAGUAGUUUGCUUGUUAAUCAUAUGAGAAACUAAAGAAAUGCACAAGAAUAUUGAAAAAAUAUACUGCAUAUUGGAUAAUCAAUGUACUGUAAUUGAUUGCAUAAAUAAAAAAUAUACUAC
rnacentral:lncRNA from 1 species